CUCACCGCCUACUCAGUCGGAGGGCUGGGCGAACCUUGGAUCUCCUUUUGAGGCGCCAAGUGUUUCAGGUCCUGGGCUUGUCGGGAAAACUCUGGAAAACACGUUAGACUAGAUAAUCCAAACAAUGAAGAGAUACUCAGGAAGUGGUGGUGAAAAGAAACGGUUGGAACCCAGGGAGGAAACGAAAAGCUCACCAACUGAAGCAAUGCAAAGUUCAGGAAAUGACUGUCCUCAAAGCACAAACUUGGCCUCACAUAUUCCAAGAUGACUUCAUCCUUCCUCAUAACUCCCAUAUUGCAGAUGACUAAUUUGUUUACCUACCAUUAUAAAGCCCCAGACUCCCCCUUUUUCUUUGAGAUAUUUGUCAUUAAAAAAUUUUCUCUCUAAUGCAA